UACGUAGGGUGCAAGGCGUUGUCCGGAAUUAUUGGGCGUAAAGAGCUCGUAGGCGGUUUGUCGCGUCGGCUGUGAAAAACCUGGGGCUCAACCCCGGGCCCUGCAGCCGAUACGGGCAAACUAGAGUUCGGCAGGGGAGAGCUGGAAGUUCCGUGUGAGCGGUGGAAUGCGCAGAUAUCAGGAGGAACACCGGUGGCGAAGGCGGGUCUCUGGGCAGUAACUGACGCUGAGGAGCGAAAGCGUGGGGGAGCGAACAGG
rnacentral:rRNA from 1 species